UACGGAAGGCAGCAGUGGGAAAUAUUGCACAAUGGGCGAAAGCCUGAUGCAGCUAUGCCGCGUGUAUGAAGAAGGCCUUAGGGUUGUAAAGUACUUUCAUCGGGGAGGAAAAAACAAAACUAAUAAUUUUAUUUCUUGACGUUACCCGAAAAAGAAGCACCGGCUAACUCCGUGCCAGCAGCCGCGGUAAUACGGAGGGUGCUAGCGUUAAUCAGAAUUACUGGGCGUAAAGAGCACGUAGGUGGUUUUUUAAGUCAGAUGUGAAAUCCCUGGGCUUAACCUAGGAACUGCAUUUUGAAACUGAAAUACUAGAGUAUCGUAGAGGGAGGUAGAAUUCUAGGUGUAGCGGUGAAAUGCGUAGAUAUCUGGAGGAAUACCUGUGGCGAAAGCGGCCUCCUAAACGAAUACUGACACUGAGGUGCGAAAGCGUGGGGAGCAAACAGGGAUUAGAUACC
rnacentral:rRNA from 1 species